AAUCUUAACUAAUUAUAUCAUAAUAUUUUAAUAUCAAAUUUAACGUUAUCUACGGAAUUUUCUGUAGAUAACGUUAAAUUUGAUAUGAAAAUAUUAUGAUAUACUUAGAUAAGAUUUUA
rnacentral:miRNA from 1 species